AAAUGUUAUUUAAAUUCUUAUUUUAUUUUGUUUGAUCUUUUUAUCAUUGGGUGUUGAAAGAGUCUCCAUCAACCUCCUUCACGAUCGUGCUCGCAGGAGGAGGAAUUUCGAUCUUACCUUGGGGCGUUAUUUUCGGUUAAUCCCGCACGUAAGGACGGGAAUACGUCUUAGGGUAGUGCCUCGCACGCUUCCGGAUCAAUCAAAUUUUUAUUUGGAUUUUAGCGUUUAUUGGUAAGUCUGAUUUUAUCUUUAUUAUAAAAUUAAUU
rnacentral:lncRNA from 1 species